GCAGGAUUGAGUAGAUUAAUCAGGUUUAUGGGGAAAUAAAAUGUUUGGUAAAGGUUCUUACAGGAGAAACUAUCACAUGUUAUUUGAGCACGACUAUGCCUCAGUUAUGGUGCACUUUAGAAAAGGAUGAUGAACCUUGAAACUCUCCUUCACUUCCGUGGGAGCAGAGAGUUCAAACAUUCAAAGCGGCCUCACCACAGCCUCUGAAUUUGACUGCCUGCAGAUGCAUGUGAGACACCUUCCCCCUGGGGCUUCAGACAGGCAUAAGCAGAUCAAGGGAUUCUCUGGGGAGAGCUCAGCAAGUAGGGUACUGUCCAGGAGAACAAUUCUUUCAUUUCCAAGUUCCAGCCAUGCACAUAGUUACACGCUUUUCUAAAUGGG